rfam:Brachypodium distachyon strain Bd21 chromosome 1, whole genome shotgun sequence.
CAUCUACUCCCUCCGACCCAUAUUAAUUGUCUCAAAUUUUCCCAGAUAUGGAUGUAUCUAUGCCUAAAAAGCGUCUAGAUACAUGUAAUAUUUCGACAAUUAAUAUGGAUCGGAGGGAGUAAGAA